UGGGGAAUUUUGGACAAUGGGCGAAAGCCUGAUCCAGCAAUGCCGCGUGUGUGAAGAAGGCCUUCGGGUUGUAAAGCACUUUUGUCCGGAAAGAAAUCCUUGGCUCUAAUACAGUCGGGGGAUGACGGUACCGGAAGAAUAAGCACCGGCUAACUACGUGCCAGCAGCCGCGGUAAUACGUAGGGUGCGAGCGUUAAUCGGAAUUACUGGGCGUAAAGCGUGCGCAGGCGGUUUGCUAAGACCGAUGUGAAAUCCCCGGGCUCAACCUGGGAACUGCAUUGGUGACUGGCAGGCUAGAGUAUGGCAGAGGGGGGUAGAAUUCCACGUGUAGCAGUGAAAUGCGUAGAGAUGUGGAGGAAUACCGAUGGCGAAGGCAGCCCCCUGGGCCAAUACUGACGCUCAUGCACGAAAGCGUGGGGAGCAAACAGGAUUAGAUACCCUGGUAGUCCACGCCCUAAACGAUGUCAACUAGUUGUUGGGGAUUCAUUUCCUUAGUAACGUAGCUAACGCGUGAAGUUGACCGCCUGGGGAGUACGGUCGCAAGAUUAAAACUCAAAUGAAUUGACGGGGUCAUAGCUGUUUCC
rnacentral:rRNA from 1 species